CCUACGGGUGGCAGCAGUGGGGAAUUUUGGACAAUGGGCGCAAGCCUGAUCCAGCUAUUCCGCGUGUGGGAAGACGGCCUUCGGGUUGUAAACCACUUUUGUAGAGAACGAAAAGUCUAUUGAUAAUACCGAUAGAUGAUGACGGUACUCUAAGAAUAAGCACCGGCUAACUACGUGCCAGCAGCCGCGGUAAUACGUAGGGUGCGAGCGUUAAUGGGAAUUACUGGGCGUAAAGGGUGUGCAGGCGGUUUUGCAAGAUGGAUGUGAAAGCCCCGGGCUUAACCUGGGAAAGCCAUACAUGACUGCAAGACUAGAGUGCGUCAGAGGGGGGUGGAAUUCCAAGUGUAGCAGUGAAAUGCGUAGAUAUUUGGAAGAACACCGAUGGCGAAGGCAGCCCCCUGGGACGCAACUGACGCUCAUACACGAAAGCGUGGGGAGCAAACAGGAUUAGAUACCCCGGUAGUC
rnacentral:rRNA from 1 species